AGAUGAGAAAUCAGUAAUUUGUCCUAAGAUUUGUCAUUCCGGAUGGCUUUCCAGGCAGACCAAAGCAAAGCUGGUCCCAGUGAAGGCGCCCCCAGCCGUAAGGGAGGCACAGGCGGUUUUAGGAGAGGGAAAGGUUUUCCUUGACGACUUCUAAGUUUGCAUUCUUCUUAAAAAGGGAGGUGCUGGAUGACCCACAGCCUUGGGUCCCCAAGCUCUGAAGCAGCAGGUCUAGGAGGGGAGGCAGACAGUAAUCAAAUAACCGUGCACAUCCGUGUGUGAUGAUGAACUAUGCCAAGUGCCAUGCAAGGAAGCUGGGGGCUUUGACAGCAGAUGAGAACAUUGAAGCCGAGAGAGGUUAAGUGACUUUCCCAAGGUCUUGCUGCCAACGAGUGCAAGAGCAGACUCAAACUUGCCAUUCUUGACUCCAAAGUGCCCACUUUUAACCUCUUCCAUUCCUUCCUCUCCUCUCUCCCUUCGGUUCUUCUCUUCCUCCUUCUGUCUCUCUCUCUCUCCCUUCCUGGCUUCUAUAGACAUGUACAAGCUCACAGUGAACUGGAGGCUGGUUAUUCACACUCCGCCAUUGCUCUGUGCUUUACACGCGUGUCGUUUCAUAACAAGGAUGUGAUUCACGCUCAACUUUGGAGGACACCUCUAUCCGUAUAACGUUGCCAAGUUCCUCGGCAAAUGUUAAGGUGUUGAGGGAGAAUCACUGACAUUUCGGAGUUGGGAGUGCACCCUCUUCUUUUCACACAGACGGAAUGAGGCCCGGAGAGGAGAGAAGGUUUGUCUGGGGAUGAGGUAGAUCGCCAGCCAAGGAGCGAAGACCAGAAACCGGAAGGCCCCCCCCCCCCCGUGAUCCUUACCCCAUUGCAGCCACCACCCAGGGCACACAGCCCACUCUGAGAAAUCAGGGAAUCCCUUAGAAGACCAGGACACCCCAGGAAUGCAAUAGAAAGGAUUCCUCAGAUGGACACAGAACCCGUACCCCAGCAGCACAAAGGCACCACCAGCCAUUCUAAGAGCCCUGAUCCCCACCCCCACCCCCACCCCCACCCCACCCCGGGCCUUAGGCUGCCAGAGGAAGAGUCUCUCUUCAGAUGAAUAUGCUGCUAUGCAAGUGCUGUGUAGAAUGACAUUUCUACUUAAAGGGGUCGUAUUUCUACCCUGUUGAGUAGAGGACAGGAAAUGGGGAACCUGAGGGAGGUAAACAUGGCUGAGCCAUAAGGGACUCCCUUUUCCUCCCUCCUUCCCCGCCUCAGGGCCCAUGCUGGUGGUGGCUGUGGCUGUUGAGUAUUGGCUGAGAUUUCCAGUACCUUUUGGGGAUAUCAGAUGCGAGAGUCUGAGGCUCUGGAGUCAGGCAGACUUGACUUCCAAACCAGGUCCUGACACCGAAGAGUCUCCGUUUCCCCAUCCCUAAAAUUGGAAUAACAGCCUUACCAUGAAUUUUUCGAGGGUGUUUGGAGAACAAGCCUGAGUUGUCAUAAACACAAAGCAAGGGGUACCAUGUCUGGCAAAGUGGGAAAAUGGAAUGGAAUAAGUAAAAGGCCUGCUCCUGGCACAUCUGCAGAGUUA